rnacentral:tRNA from 1 species
GGCUUGACGUUUAGGAAACACUAGAUUUUGAACGUCUAUAAUAAAUGUUCAACUCAUUUUCAG